GCUACGGGAGGCAGCAGUGAGGAAUAUUGGUCAAUGGACGCAAGUCUGAACCAGCCAUGCCGCGUGCAGGAAGACGGCUCUAUGAGUUGUAAACUGCUUUUGUACGAGGGUAAACGCAGAUACGCGUAUCUGUCUGAAAGUAUCGUACGAAUAAGCCUCGGCUAACUACGUGCCAGCAGCCGCGGUAAUACGUAGGAGGCAAGCGUUAUCCGGGAUGACUGGGCGUAAAGGGUGCGUAGGUGGUUCAGCAAGUUAGUAGCGUAACUCCGGGGCUCAACCUCGGCACUACUACUAAAACUGUUUGACUUGAGGGCAGGAGGGGCAACUGGAAUUCCUAGUGUAGCGGUGGAAUGCGUAGAUAUUAGGAGGAACACCAGUGGCGAAGGCGAGUUGCUGGACUGUAACUGACACUGAGGCACGAAAGCGUGGGGAGCAAACAGGAUUAGAUACCCUUGUAGUC
rnacentral:rRNA from 1 species